CCUACGGGUGGCAGCAGUGAGGAAUAUUGGUCAAUGGACGCAAGUCUGAACCAGCCAUGCCGCGUGCAGGAUGACGGCUCUAUGAGUUGUAAACUGCUUUUGUACGAGGGUAAACCCCGAUACGUGUAUCGGGUUGAAAGUAUCGUACGAAUAAGGAUCGGCUAACUCCGUGCCAGCAGCCGCGGUAAUACGGAGGAUCCGAGCGUUAUCCGGAUUUUUUGGGUUUAAAGGGUGCGUAGGCGGGUUGUUAAGUUAGAGGUGAAAUGACGGGGCUCAACCCCGAAACUGCCUCUAAUACUGUUAGACUAGAGAAUAGUUGCGGUAGGCGGAAUGUAUGGUGUAGCGGUGAAAUGCUUAGAGAUCAUACAGAACACCGAUUGCGAAGGCAGCUUACCAAACUAUAUCUGACGUUGAGGCACGAAAGCGUGGGUAGCAAACAGGAUUAGAUACCCCUGUAGUC
rnacentral:rRNA from 1 species